rnacentral:rRNA from 1 species
AGCAGUAGCCGCGGGAAUACGUAGAUGGCAAGCGUUGUCCGGAAUUAUUGGGCGUAAAGCGCGCGCAGGCGGUUUCUUAAGUCCAUCUUAAAAGCGUGGGGCUCAACCCCAUGAGGGGAUGGAAACUGCCAAUCUAGAGUAUCGGAGAGGAAAGUGGAAUUCCUAGUGUAGCGGUGAAAUGCGUGGAUAUUAGGAAGAACACCAGUGGCGAAGGCGACUUUCUGGACGAAAACUGACGCUGAGGCGCGAAAGCCAGGGGAGCGAACGGGAUUAGAUACCCCCGUAGUCCCUGUCUCUUAUACA